UUAAAUUUGUGUAAAAUUUAAGUUGCUCUUCUGAGAUAUGUGAGUGAACAUUAUUUUCUAAUAUUUUUUUUUAAUUUCAUUGACAGGAGCACUUCUAUGAUGGGGAAAAAGGCACAGGAUAUUUAGCGUGGCGCCUCAAAACCAUGUCCAGGAGUAAUAUAAGAGGCCAGAGAAGGUAGCCACCUCACCUCAUGUGCAAGGACCAAACCGUAAAAGAACAGCAACCACAGUGCCUCAACAGCUUGAUGGAGAUGCCUGCAGGGAGGCAGUUUCAUUUCUUCUUCACUGUAACGAUGAGACAGUUGUCUUUCAAAAGAUGAAUAUGACCUUUCAACAUCGACAGGACCUUGUGCAUGAUCCACAGACAAGUGCAGAUGUCUUCAAAACAUUCCCACGUUUUUUAGACGUUAAAGGACUAGUAAACCAAGACUUCCAACUGUUGCUUGGAGCUGAAACCUCUUCUAAAAUGCUUGAGAAAUGGGACACGACAUUUAAACCCAAGGUUAUUGAUGAGGCCCGAAAUCUGACUCAAUCGGCGGAGGUUCGCCAACUUCUGAAAGCUGCUGAGAACCUUUCAACAGAUGAUGACUCCAACUGGGACAGUGAUAUGGCUUCUCUGCUGCUCCUUCUUCAUUUGUUGCCACCCACUGCUGGUCGAAAGAGGACAAAAAUUAGCCCCUGUGAUGCGGUGGACAAAAUGGUGCACUUUCACAAGUCAAACUGCAGCAUUGAUGAACACCUGCAGAGACGAGAGGGGAAGCAGCCAUACAUUCUUGCAGUUGGUCGCACACCAAACAAAACUGGUGCAUUCUACAUUGUUGUGGACAAGCACCUCAUCCCCUGCCAAGCCACCAGCUCAUUGGGUGCUUUUGAUGAACUGUUCAAAUGUCACUACGUUUUCAACCUGUCCUAUGAUGAGUCCCUGGUCCAGCUCUUCACCUUUGUGCAAACAACGAUCUACAACAUCGUACAACAUCGACGCUACAACAACAAGUGGAUCUCCAAGAGUUUGUGAGCUUCGAGCAAAAUUCUUUAACUAGGUUUAAAAAAUGUUCAGG